CAAACGAUACUCGAAAUUCGUCUAUAAUUAUAAUAGUGGUUACGAUCAAAAUGUAGAAGGUAACAAUUGAAAAAUAUACGUGUAAAUAACAACCGAGCAAAUGGCACCACUAUCUAUACGCACCACAUUGUAAAUGUUAUUAAAAUAUACUACAAAACGACUAACUACAUACCGAAACUAUGUAGGAGGAAUUUCAAAUGUAUCCUUGCGUCGAAUACAAUCGAUCUAUAAUGUAGGAGUAUACGUAUAAAAUACAGAUAAAAUAAAACACAGUAUCAAAAAUAACAUUUCACGGUAAAACAAAUUUAGGGGACAGCACACCGUUCCACACCGUUUCCAGCCCCUCACCGCGAGUGUGUCUGUGUAUGACUGUGUGCUAACCACUCUAUUCGAAUGUUGUCCGGCGAACUACUCGCAGUGGAAGCGUUAAAAUAAUCAUUUAUUAAAUUAAGAGUAUGUUGUAAAAUUAGUAAAACGUGUUCGAAUUCAAUAUUUACAAUUUUUAUAUGAUAUGCAAGUGCAAAGCUCACUAAAUAUAUCGUUACAUGAAUUUGUCUAUUGUCAAUAGUAUGAA